AUUGCAAUCGUGCUAUGCUCAACCUCCUCUAGAGUAAUCCUCAAUGGUGAUCCGGGGCUGCCUUUCUACCAUCGAUGUGGCUUGCGACAAGGCGACCCACUCUCGCCUUUUUUGUUCCUGCUUGCUAUAGAGCCACUACAGCGUAUCUUCGCGUCUGCAACCGAAGCCGGGAUCCUGAAGCCUAUU
rnacentral:rRNA from 1 species